GUGUCAGUCCAUCAGCGCGCAGCCCCGCCCCCUGCCCGGCGGAGCGCAGCACGGAGCGGAGCGGUGGGCGCCGGGCGCGGCUGCAUGGCGUGCUGGGGGUCGUGCCGGCGGGUGGGCGCCACGCCGCGCUGAUCCGCGCUGCUCGGGGCGGGCGACACCACCUCGGGCUCUUCCUCUGAUAGAAGGGAACAGCGAGGCGGGGAUCAAGAUGAUCGAAACGCUUGUGACUACCGAAGCGCAGGAGCUGUUGUACCAGCUGACGGCCCUGCUGGAGCAGGAGCUGAGGUGUCAGCCCAAGGCAUCUGGCCUGAGACUCAUCGAAGCUGCCCACGAUAAUGGCCUCCGAAUGACUGCCCGCCUGCGAGACUUUGAAGUGAAAGAUCUCCUCAGCUUAACUCAGUUCUUCGGCUUCCACACGGAGACGUUUUCACUAGCUGUGAAUUUCUUAGAUAGGUUCUUGUCAAAAAUGAAGGUACAGCCUAAGCACUUAGGCUGUGUUGGACUCAGCUGCUUCUACUUGGCUGUGAAAGCAACAGAGGAAGAGAGAAAUGUUCCCUUAGCCACUGACUUGAUUCGAAUAAGCCAGUAUAGGUUCACUGUUUCUGAUAUGAUGAGAAUGGAGAAAAUCGUAUUGGAGAAGCUGUCUUGGAAAGUCAAAGCUACAACAGCCUUCCAGUUUCUACAACUGUAUCAUUCGCUCAUUCAUGAGAAUUUAAGCUGUGAAAGGAGAAAAUACCUUAAUUUUGAGAGACUUGAGACACAGCUUAAGGCAUGUCACUGCAGAAUCAUGUUUUCUAAAGCCAAGCCUUCUGUCUUGGCAUUGUCUAUUAUGGCACUAGAGAUAGAAGAACAAAAAUUACUGGAGUUGACAGAGGCAUUGGAAUUUCUGCAGCUGCAUUCCAAGAUGAGCAACAGAGAGUUGACCUUCUGGAAGGAAUUGGUGUUAAAGUGCCUUACAGAAUAUUCCUCGAGCAAGUGUUCGAAACCAAACGUCCAGAAAUUAAAAUGGAUUGUGUCUGGACGUACAGCACGGCAGCUUAAACAUAGCUAUUACAGAAUAACACACCUUCCUACAAUUCCAGAGACCAGCUCAUAAUAGGAAUACAAUAAAAUGAGAGAACCAUCCUGUGACCUAGUUCACAGGCAGAUGAAGAUUUGAGAAACCAAGUCUGAAACAUGAUCUUAAUAAUGAAGAACCCAACUCAUGGAAAUACGUAACAUUUCAGACUAAAAAUCAUUGCAGCAAAUGCGUUCUUUUCCACGAUGAUUACAACAACAUUCAGUGUCAGUUUUUGGUCUUAUUAGACCAUUUACUAUCCAAACAGUGAAAAACCUCAAUACUGAUAGAAGGAAUUUAACACCUUAGAGUUUGUAGAGCAGCUUGUGUAGUCUAACCUUGUUUUACUAUAAGUGCAGAUGCCCGGUGGUGUAUUAAAUUUAAAAAAAAUCUGGUUCAACUUUCCAAAGAUUACAGGACAUUAGGAAAAUGUGUGCAGUGGCACAGUGCUGUAGUCUCAGGCAAACUAAAGACCAGCUUGCUCAAUAUUGAUGAGAAUAGGAAAUGCUUGUCAGUCAACCUGACAUGCUGGCUUGGAAGUGUCAUGUGUCCAUGUGUUCCUACAGGGCAGGGUACUGGCCUUUAACAUAGACAAACUAAAAACAAAGCUCUACGAUACCUGCUGAGCACGUCAAGUACCUGGAGCAGGACAAAGGGGAGAAACUUGAUUUCAUUGCCUUGUAAAAGAUAGUCACGAACACUGCAUUGAUAACGUCAGUGUUUUGUAAGAGGUGUAGUUUGCUGAGAUUAUGAAGGAUGGAGAGAGCAUAGAAACUUCAUGGUACGUAAGAAGGCUGGAGAGAAACCACUGAGUUACCUGCCCCAAAUCUGCCAUUAGUCUUGCGAGGUUUUGCUACACAAGAGGUAAAUGCUGAUGCUGAACAGAUGGAUUUUACAGGCACAGUAAGAACAGGGCCGUAGUCCCAUAACAGCCUGUAAGUAGGAACAAUUGAGGUGAGAAACAACUGAAGAUUGUUUCAACUCUCAUCUGUUUAACAAUUAGCUUUGUGAAACACACCUGCUCUGUUUUUUUUUUUUUCCCCUGAAGACCGCGUCAGUACUUGAGGCGUAUCUUGCUUUUGGUACUAACAUGAAAGUGAAUAAUAAGAAUGUGUUAUUGGAUGUGAGAUGGAUAGAGGUGUGGUGGGGAAUGUUGCUAAUGACCUCUUGAAUUCUGUGUCACUGUGGAGCAGAGGCUGUUAGGGGUAGGCUGAUCAUAACUGCCAUGUAAAUGGAUUUAGGGGAAAAUGAGCGAUCUGAAUAUAGUGUGGGCUUAAAUGCUAGCCUACCAAACCUGUCCCCUUAAUGGUAAUAGCUGAUGCGUAAACCAUUCUUAGCAUAUCUUAAACUAAUUAAAUUCUUCACAAAAGACUUCAUACCAAAGCUCUGUACUGAACAAAUCAAGCUUUCUUGUGAACUCAUGGGAAUGAUUGCACUGCAUAGCAUUUAAUCGAGUCUUCCAUCUGCCAGUGCUCUCUGUGCAUUGUGCUGGCCUCUGAAAAGCAUACACGUGACUCAGACAAAGGGGUGGACAGCUUACUGGGAGAGAUGGACAACGAUGCAGUGUGCAAUUCUACUGGUGUUGUCAUGUGUCAAGAUAAUUCCAAAACUUGCAGUGGACAAGAGAAGUAGCUAUCCAACUAGUUUAAACCUGUCCUCUUACAACAAUUCAAAGCUGUGAUGCCUUACUGUGUAAGCCAGCUUAACUGUUAUCAUGUGAAAUACUUGCACUGAGUAGUAUUUUGGCGCUUGCAGUGGCCUCGUUCGUGCCUUAACUGCACCAUCCAACUUCUGAACUACAAUUGUGGCAAAGAUGCACUUAAUACCAAACUAUACCUACUUUUGUACACUAUGGAAAGCUGUCUAAAACCUUACCAUGGCAUUUGGUGCUACUAUAUAUUUCUGUAAAGAUGAUGGGGGUAGAAAAAUCGCAAUUAUUUCAGGAGUACUGCUGGUUUGCUUGCUGGUGCGAGAAAGCAUUGGAUGUAAUUACAGCAAAAGCAUUCGUCAACAACUCUUGCUUUAUUUUUGCCAUAUCCCAACUGAAAUAAUGAUGCAGUUUUUAAAGUAAGGUUCAACACUAUCAUAGAUGCUGCUGGCAAUCUCCAGGGGGACUUGUGCUUAGGACCUACUUACAGGCAAUAGUUUCAGUGUUCAGAAUACAAUAGAAUUUGGCAAUAGUUUCAGUGUUCAGAAUACAAUAGAAUUUGGCAAUCGUGUUUUCUUCUUGUUAGUUUGCCACACCACUUGUCCCAUGUGAUGCAGUUGGAGGGCUUCUGAGCUGCAUCCUUAAGAACGAGUAGAAAAAUCAUAAGUAAUUGGCGCAUGCAAAAUAUUAAAUCAUGCAGUAGCCAAGAUUAAGGUGUGGCUAUCAAACUGAAAACUAACUGCAGAAAUCUACAGCUGCAUGUUCAGCUUAUAUAAGCAGCUUGUACUGUAUGUUGGUGGCGAACAGAUGCAAGAUAUUUCUUACUUAAGGACUUCCUACUUUUUUCAAGAAUUAUUACAUUCUCUUACUUGCAAAGUUUUAAAUAUUUCUACUGAAAGACUUUAUGACAUUAACACAGUUAUGUAUACCCAGACUUUCACUUGACUUGUCUCCUCUCCAGUAGCACUUAGCUGAGAGCAAGGAAUCACAGAAUCAUUAAGGUUGGAAAAGACCUUCAAGGUCAUCUGGUCCAACCCUCCCCCUACCACCGAUGUCACCCAUUAAACCAUGUCCCUAAGCACCAGGUCCAACCUUCCCUUGAACACCCCUGGGGACGGUGAUGCCAUCACCUCCCUAGGCACCACCUGCACUCACUCCAGCUGUGGGCACACACACCUGCUGCCCCACAGCCUGGCUGCAGUUGCAGCACUCACAGGCCCGUUCCUGGACAUGCACACAGAACUGAGAGCCCCUUUUAGUGCUAUAUUUGGCAAUGCAGUGCAUUGUAAAGCUUCAGUUGAGGCAAGAUGCAGUAGUUUAUUAACCACUAUUUUAGAAUAAGGUACAAAUUCUUAGAGGGCUGCUAAAAGUGCAAGUCUGUUUCAAAAGUGCAACUGUAGCCUUCCCAAUAUCCUUCUAGUUGCAAGUUAAGAAAAAAAUAUUCAGUAUCUUGCUUCUAGGAUCCAUCUUCAACAGUAAAGAUAUUCUUACAUAAAGACAAGUGGUAUAUUUAUAACUGACUAGUUUACUGUUGUAUCAGAGAAGUGUUCUGCUUCAGGAUGUUACUUUUUUGUAUACACCUUUUUAUGUAUUUUAUCCUUUUAAUGUGAGAAAGUUAUUGCAGCUUACGAAUCAGCUGCUGACACUGUCUUCGUUCUGCUAGAAGAGACCUGUGGGAAAGGAAUUCACAGGGAGCUUUGUGCUGUUUUGUGGGAAAGGAAUUCGCAGGUGGCUUUGCGCUGUUUCACACGUCCCUGAGUUAGAGAUAAUGAGGAAAACAGCGGUAGAACCAAAAACUUGAGCAAGGUCGAGAUAAAGUAAAUUGGCUAGAGUGUUAAAGAUGAGCUUUGGGCAGUGGCCAAUUGCUGGCUGGCUCAAGGCGCGUGUCUGAGGGUCUCAAACCACUUGUAAGACAGAUUCGGGCGCAUGGACAGCGCGUGGGGCUAUGGGGAAAGUAUAUGUCGUAGUAAAAAAGGGCAAUAAAUGUCUCCUGUUCAAGAGCCA